UAGCUCCCCGAACCAGCUAGUUUAACUAGUUACUGCCGAAGAAUUGCCUUUUUACAGAACAGUGUUGGGAUCUUCGGGAGAGAUGAAAGUUUUCGUUUCCUCAAGAGCUACGUAGUUCAAGCAGUGGCAGACCAGACUCGGUCCUACAAAGAAGUGCACACUCUAAGCAUUUUUUGAAGAUAUCAGCCCUUUCGAGCAGGACGGAUUUCACCGCCGCUGGGAUUGUUUAUAUUAUUUGGCAACACUUGUAAGAUGAUUUACCGAGAGUAAAUAGUUCAUGGGACCCACAUCAGGACGGAGACUUUAUUGCAUAACAUCGCAUACGGACAGCUUGCCGGUGGAUAUAUGAUGCAGGUGACGCGGAAUGGUCCGUUUCUGGGUGCACUUUUUAUAACAUCCUUAAUUUGGAAGUGCAACGGAUGUCUCCCUUAUUGUUUUCGUUCCAAUACCAAGACGAAGUGUACAUUGGGGAGCUUAUUUGUUGAGGUGCUGAAGCGAUGUAUUAUGAAAUAUAGGUUAUUCUUUUAUA